rnacentral:rRNA from 1 species
CCUACGGGGGGCAGCAGUCGAGAAUCAUUCACAAUGGGGGAAACCCUGAUGGUGCGACGCCGCGUGGGGGAAUGAAGGUCUUCGGAUUGUAAACCCCUGUCAUGUGGGAGCAAAUUAAAAAGAUAGUACCACAAGAGGAAGAGACGGCUAACUCUGUGCCAGCAGCCGCGGUAAUACAGAGGUCUCAAGCGUUGUUCGGAAUCACUGGGCGUAAAGGGUGCGUAGGCUGUUUCGUAAGUCGUGUGUGAAAGGCGCGGGCUCAACCCGCGGACGGCACAUGAUACUGGGAUACUAGAGUAAUGGAGGGGGAACCGGAAUGCUCGGUGUAGCAGUGAAAUGCGUAGAUAUCGAGAGGAACACUCGUGGCGAAGGCGGGUUCCUGGACAUUAACUGACGCUGAGGCACGAAGGCCAGGGGAGCGAAAGGGAUUAGAUACCCCAGUAGUC